CACGUAGUUAGCCGGUGCUUCUUAUCCAGGUACCGUCACCCGAAGGCUUCUUCCCUAAGCGAAAGAGGUUUACAACCCGAAGGCCGUCAUCCCUCACGCGGCGUCGCUGCAUCAGGCUUCCGCCCAUUGUGCAAUAUUCCCCACUGCUGCCUCCCGUAGGAGUCUGGGCCGUGUCUCAGUCCCAAUGUGGCCGUCCACCCUCUCAGGCCGGCUACCCGUCGUCGCCUUGGUAGGCCAUUACCCCACCAACAAGCUGAUAGGCCGCGGGCUCAUCCUCCACCGAAAAAACUUUCCACCAACCACACUAAAGAUUGGUCCUAUCCGGUAUUAGACCCAGUUUCCCAGGCUUAUCCCGAAGUGAAGGGCAGAUCACCCACGUGUUACUCACCCGUUCGCCACUCGAGUACCCCUGCAAGCAGGGGCCUUUCCGUCACGUACGUCGACUGUGUUAGUACGCGCCGCCGACGCGUCGUC
rnacentral:rRNA from 1 species